GGUGAACGCUGGCGGUGUGCCUAAUACAUGCAAGUCGAACGGACGCACAGUAAGCGCUUGCUCUUACUGUUGGCGAGUGGCGGACGGGUGAGGCAUGCAUCGGAUUCUACUUUUUCGUGGGGGAUAACGUAGGACCACUUACGCUAAUACCGAAUACGACCUACCGGUUGAUUCAAAGGAUAUUCACACCUUUCGCGUCUCUUUUAGCCGGUGUCGGAUUAGCUAGUUGGCGAGGUAAGGGCCCACCAAGGCGACGAUGCGUAGCUGAUCUGAGAGGGUGAUCGGCCACACUGGAACUGAGACACGGUCCAGACUCCUACGGGAGGCAGCAGUGGGGAAUCUUGCACAAUGGGCGAAAGCCUGACCGAGCAAUGCCGCGUGAGUGAUGAAGGUCUUCGGGUCGUAAAACCCUUUUGUUAGGAAAGAACAUCUGUGGAAGUAAAUGCGGACGUCUUGACGGUACCUAAUCAGAAAGCACCGGCUAACUACGUG
rnacentral:rRNA from 1 species